rnacentral:lncRNA from 1 species
AUAUUCUUCUUUUUGUGCUUCUAUCAAAUUUCCAGGGUAUUUUCCAUCUAUGACUUUUGAAACUUUUUGUUGAAUAAAAAUCCCCUUUAUCUUUUAUUGCCAAAUUGAAAAAUUUUAUUUUCAAUUGAAAAUUCUAAUUUCGAAAUGUGAAGAUUUUGAAAAACAGAAUGACCAAAGUACACAAAUAGGUCACACAAAAUAAUCCUUAGGCCAUAGUUUACAAAGUUCUAGAUUUCUAGGGCUUCGUGAAAUUCAAGAUUUUGGUAUCAAUGGAAUGUUCAAAUGGGUGAAGUUUUGGUGUUCUAACAAAGUAAUCAAUGCAACACGAAUGUAUGUCAACAAGAAUUCAAAUUUUCACGCAAUGUAGUCUCACACAAUAACUAAAUGACAAUUAAAGCACAAAAACAAUUAUCAACUUGCGGUUAAAUUUAACACUUCUGCAAGUAAUUACUAAAUUUC